GGGUUCGGCCGCCGAACGUGUUGAGGAGGUGGUUUCGGCUGCCUAAACCUGCCCCCGAAGGAUGGGACUUUCGUCUCUGGAGGGGAGGUUCGGCCGCCGAAGGUGCCGCCGAAGGUGGAGACUUUCGUCUCUGGAGUAUGGUUUGGCCCCCGAACUUUGCCUCCGAAGGCUUCGGCCGCCGAAAGAGGAGAUUCGGCCGCCGAAGGUAUGCGAGUUUCGUCUCUGGACAGGGUAUUCGGCCGCCGAACCUGCCGCCGAAUGUGUUCUGUCCAGCCUUCUUUUGCAUGCUUUGUGUG
rnacentral:lncRNA from 1 species